AUUGAACGCUGGCGGCAUGCCUUACACAUGCAAGUCGAACGCACCGCAAGGUGAGUGGCAGACGGGUGAGUAACACGUGGGGAUCUGCCCAAUGGUACGGAAUAGCUCCGGGAAACUGGAAUUAAUACCGUAUGAGCCCGCAAGGGGAAAGAUUUAUCGCCAUUGGAUGAACCCGCGUCGGAUUAGCUAGUUGGUGUGGUAAAGGCGCACCAAGGCGACGAUCCGUAGCUGGUCUGAGAGGAUGAUCAGCCACACUGGGACUGAGACACGGCCCAGACUCCUACGGGAGGCAGCAGUGGGGAAUAUUGGACAAUGGGCGCAAGCCUGAUCCAGCCAUGCCGCGUGAGUGAUGAAGGCCUUAGGGUUGUAAAGCUCUUUCGCCGACGAAGAUAAUGACGGUAGUCGGAGAAGAAGCCCCGGCUAACUUCGUGCCAGCAGCCGCCGUAAAAC
rnacentral:rRNA from 1 species